GAUGAAGAACGUAGCGAAAUGCGAUAAGUAGUGUGAAUUGCAGAAUUCUGUGAAUCAUCGAAUCUUUGAACGCACAUUGCGCCUCCUGGUAUUCCGGGAGGCAUGCCUGUUCGAGCGUCAUUAAAAUCACUCAAGCUUAGGUUUACCUAUUGCUUGGUCUUGGAGAUGGAAGCCAAUUUAUUGGAAUCCUCUUCGAAAUUCAAUGGCGAAGACCCUUGCUCUCCCAAGUGUAGUAAUAACUUAUGUCACUGAAGGAAGCGAGAAAUCUUCUGCCGUAACCCCCAUAUUUUCUAUGAUUGACCUCGGAUCAGGUAGGGAUACCCGCUGAACUUAAGCAUAUCAAUAAGCGGAGGA
rnacentral:misc_RNA from 1 species